AAUUUCCCCGUCUCUACCAGGGCAGCAGUCCUCCGCUGAAGAAAAACUCAUUCGCUCCUAAAAAAAUCCUCUGAUUUCCCUCACUAAUCCUUACCCAGAUUACUCAAUUAUUUAUGAUUUUAUAAUUUAUUCAUUCAUUCAAUUUUUUUGUUAACCUAGAGCAUUCAGUGUAGUAAGUUGAGUGAAAAUGACGAUAGAUGAUGAUAAUUCAAUAUACGUUGGUGGGAUUCCAUAUGAUUGCACAGAAGAAGACAUUCGCAGAGUUUUUGAUUUAUACGGUUCUGUUAUCGCUGUUAAGAUUAUUAACGCUCGUGAUGUUGGUGGGAAAUGCUAUUGCUUUGUCACUUUUACCAAUCCGAGAGCUGCAAUUGACGCCAUUAAUGAUAUGAAUGGAAGGAUGAUUGGUGGACGUGUUGUAAAAGUGAAUGAAGUGAAUGCAAGAGGAGCUGGAAGACCACCACCUCCUCCGUUUCAUCGUACUUCUGAGAGGGAUAUGGACUGGAACAAUAGAGGUAGAGAAAGGGAAAGAGGGGGUUAUGAUCAUGAAAGGGAUCGUUAUGGUAGAGGUGAAAGAAAUAAUAAUGCUGAUCGCUCUCAAGAUGGAUAUGACCGUCCACGAGGUGAUUAUGAUCGAAAUAGAGAUCAUUUCUUAGAUAGAGAUCAAGUUCGGGUUCCUGAGCCUUAUGAGCAUGAAAGGAACAGGAGUCAUGAUCGAGACAGGGGUAAGGACCAUAAUUUGGAUCUUGACUUGUUACAGCAGACUGAAUAUGACCGCCCACAUGAUUAUGAUCGAAGUAGAGACCGCUCCUUAGACCGAGAUCAAGUCAGGGGUCGUGAUUAUCAUGAGCGAGACAGGAGCAGGAGCCAGGAUCGAGCUCGCAGUAAGGAGCUGGACUUGAAGCGAGAUACUGAGGUGAAUAGAAGUAUUGAGAAUAACAGAAAAGAUAUGGAUACAAGGAGUCAGAGUGGUUCCCAUUUUAAUGAUCGCCGUAGCAGGGAGCUGUCAUCGAGCUCCAACGAUAAUUAUAAUGACGAGGGAAAGGAACGGUUGGAUGUGUCAACACAAAAGCAUGGAGAUCUUGAAAAGAAGAUUUCUCAAAUUAAAGAGAGGUUAGAAGAGAAAAACCAUCUUGUAUCUGAAUUAAAGAAAAAAUCUCAGAAAUUGGAGGACUCAGUUGCCUCUGCAAAGAGGCUUACUUCUCAACGGCAGAUGCAGUUGACCAUGUUGCAGAGGUGUUUUCUCCAAGUAAAAGACUACAGAGAAAAGCUUAAAAACUCGGAACAGGAACUCCAGUCUCUUGUUGAAACUGUAAUGGCUGAUGUUGAUCACGGGGAUGAGGAUGAUUGAAAUGGGAUGGUUCUCUAUGCACAAAUGGUCAUCCAAAGAUGCCCUGCCCUAAUCUAUGGUUUGUUGAAACUUCCUACUAGUUCUCUUCCUCUUAGAUGCAAAAAGUCGUAUAUAAAUUUUACAGUAAAGAAAUAAAUCAUGGAGUACUCUUUCUUUUCAAGCAAUGGCAUCUUCUGUAUCAAUAAUGCGUAAGAAAACGUUGGGAUCUAUUAAAGAGGUUGAAGAUGGCAAAUUCUGUAACCUAUCAGUACUCGACCGUGUCAUGGAACCGUCUAGCCUCCGCAUCGUCUUAUACUAUCAAUUCCCAGCUAAUACCAACUUCGCCAAGCUGAAGAAAAAGUUUGGUAUUUCAAUAUCAUACACACUUUCAGCAUUUACAAUUGUGGUUGGGAGGUUGAUAGCCAACCCUACGCCAUCAGAGGGUCACUGGCAUAUCAAAUGCAACGAUGAUGGUGUGAGAACCAUUGAAGCAAGAGCGAACUGUAGCCUUGAAGAGUGGCUGAUGUCUGUGACCAGAGAGAAGGAACUCGAGCUUAUUUAUUGGGAUGAAAUGCCUAACAAUCCACAUUUAUGGUCUGCCUUCUAUGUUCAGCUUACAGAAUUUGAAGAAGGUGGCUUUUCAGUUGGAUUAAGCUGUGCCCAUCUGCUUGCAGACGCAAUGACCGCCACCAUGUUCCUCAAAGCCUGGGCUGAUUCGCACCUAUUGAGGAAAAUCCAGUCUCCUCCAUUGUUCCACCCCUUGCCAUCACGAAAACUGUGCAGCACCAAUACAAAAAACCACGAACUACACUUUGACUUGAUCAACCAGUACAAAUCAUCUAUAGAAAGCAUCUCUAACCCAAUAACCGCAUCAAAAAGUGAAGAGUACUCAACAAUCACUUUUGCAUUUAGUGAUGAAAUGGUUAGAAAAUGCAUAUUCGAGAUGUCAUCAGAUUCAUCGCCUUUUGCUGCACUGGCCGCACUGUUUUGGGUAUGCAUUAGUAAGGUGAAAGGGAGAAAAGAAGGGCUUAUCAACAUGUGUGUGUGUUUAGAUAUGAGAAAUGUGUUGGGACUUGGAAAAGAUUUUUUUGGCAAUUGUAUGGUUUUCAACAAGGUGUCUGGAGACAUUGAGGUAGCAGAGAAAGAAGCUGGACUAGCGAAUGCGGCUCGGGCAAUGCAGAGCGUUGUUGGUGAAAUGGAGGAAAAGGAAAGGAUUAUGGAUUUGAUUGAAUGGUUGAAAAAGAAUACUGGUACUCAUCGAAUAUUCCAACCGAUAAAUGGUAAUGAUGUUAUAUGUGCUGGGAUAACUUAGACCCGUAUUCGGCCGAAUUCGAGUCCGGUUUUAAACCGGUACGGGCUUCGUACCACUUGGGACCUGUAUUUGGAGAAGGGCAAAUACUAAUCCUUCCCUCACCAAAGGGUAGUGAAAAAGAAGGUUCAAUGGGUAGAGUGGUAAUGGUUACACUGCCAAAAGAUGAAGCUGCUAAACUCAUUGAAGAAUCCUUAAUUCUCAACUUAUCUCCCAAUAUUCUUAUGAAAAGUUAGGUUUGAAAAAUGAGUUUGUGGACUUAAUUGAGACAAAAUAAAUAUGCGAUUAUCAUCAAAAUAAUUUGGGUUAUUUAGUUUUAACUCAAUAAAUUAAAAGAAACUAUAAAUCAUACUUGUACUAGUAAGAUGAACAUAAUUUUAUAUACUGAAUUAGUAUACGUAAAACGCAUUAAAUGUGAUUUAACUUCUUAAUUGAACAUUUCACUUAACAUAUUAAUACGCAAGUAUAAAC